rnacentral:lncRNA from 1 species
UUACAAGCGAUUCUCGUGCCUCAGCCUCCAGAGUAACUAGCAUUACAGGCAUGCGCUACCACUUCCAACUAAUUUUUAUAUUUUUAGUAGUGGUGAGAUUUCAUCAUGUUGGCCACGCUGGUCUCAAACUCCUGGCCUCACGUGAUCCGCCUGCCUCGGCCUCCCAAAGCGCUGGAAUUACAGCUGGCGUCUAACACCGAGGAGGGAGAGGUUAGCAGGCUGCCAACGCCUCCUAGCCCGGACCUAGAACCUGAUGCCAAGCCUGGGCUUCCACCUCCACCCAAGCUGCCUUUCCACCCACCUCCUCUGUCUGCCCCCAUGAGAAAAGGGCAGCAGUCCGGGGGAGGACAGCAGAGCGAGGACUGAGCUGUCAUGAUGAAAUCCACCGAUGGGGAAGGAGGUUGCAUCAUGCCGCUGCUGUCCCUCUUUCCAUUCUCCUCGUGGCCCCUACUGAGCUCAUCAGCAGAAUCCCAACCAAAGCCACCCAUUUGCUGAUUGCUUACCAGAUGCCAAGGCCUCUGUCAGAAAUUUGUGCUCACAAAUGUUCAUUUCCCCAACAGCUCUGCAAGGAAGGUUUUAUUAUACCUACUUUGCAAGUGAGGAUUGAAGAGAAUAUGUAAGAUGACACUAUAGGCCGGGCGCGGUGGCUCAAGCCUGUAAUCCCAGCACUUUGGGAGGCCGAGAUGGGCGGAUCACAAGGUCAGGAGAUCAAGACCAUCCUGGCUAACACGGUGAAACCUCGUCUCUACUAAAAAACACAAAAAACUAGCCGGGCGAGGUGGCGGGCACCUGUAGUCCCAGCUACUCAGGAGGCUGAGGCGGGAGAAUGGCGUAAACCCGGGAGGCAGAGCUUGCAGUGAGCUGAGAUCCGGCCACUGCACUCCAGCCCAGGCGAUAGAGCGAAACUCUGUCUCAAAAAAAAAAAAAAAAAAAAAAAGAUGACACUAUAAAGCCUCUCCUGAAUCCUCCAGCCUCUCCGCAUCUCCUCUGUGCUGCCACCCCUUCCCUGUCUUUAUUGAUUUACUUUUUAUGGAGGUGUUAUUUGCAUGUAAUAAAACAGUAACUCCUAAAUACA